ACCAUUUUAAGAUUUACCAACCCACAAAUACAUAAGUAGUCUCUACAGGUUAGAAGGGCAUCAUAUCUUCUGCCAGAAUGUCUGGACUUAAAUUCUAUCUGUAAGACUUGAGGAGACUCCUCUCACAUGACAAGCAGCUUCCUGAAAGAGGGCACUGAACUCAGGGGCUUCCACUUUCCUCCAGCAGUCUGCUUAUCUCCAUCUAUACACUGAUUGGUCAGAGCCUCAGACCUAAAACAGCAAUAUUAGAGGCAUGGAAGCAUGAAGCCAGAAAGAAAAGGCAAAGAAGAGGGAACGAAGUCAUCCUGGAGUUCUUGAAAGAAACAGAGAUCCUAACAAAUGUGAUGAAAAGUCCUAGGAGGAAUACUUUUCCUCAGGAUGGCCUGUUACUUUCAGAAAAUGGCGUACACCUAUAAAGAGAGACGUACAUUCCUGCCAAGAUAAACGAGUCAGUAAAAAUGCUCCUGAGAGUCAGCUUGUAUUACAGGCAGUGUAUUAUAAACACACACAUCCAGAAUCUGAGCUACAUCUUUUAUUCUGAACAUUUCACUCAAUAAAAAGCCGAUAUGCAAGGUCCAAGUGAUGACACACACUAAG